rnacentral:rRNA from 1 species
GCUCAACCGGGGAGGGUCAUUGGAAACUGGGGAACUUGAGUGCAGAAGAGGAGAGUGGAAUUCCACGUGUAGCGGUGAAAUGCGUAGAGAUGUGGAGGAACACCAGUGGCGAAGGCGACUCUCUGGUCUGUAACUGACGCUGAGGCGCGAAAGCGUGGGGAGCGAACAGGAUUAGAUACCCUGGUAGUCCACGCCGUAAACGAUGAGUGCUAAGUGUUAGAGGGUUCCCGCCCUUUAGUGCUGCAGCAAACGCAUUAAGCACUCCGCCUGGGGAGUACGGUCGCAAGACUGAAACUCAAAGGAAUUGACGGGGGCCCGCACAAGCGGUGGAGCAUGUGGUUUAAUUCGAAGCAACGCGAAGAACCUUACCAGGCCUUGACAUCCUCUGACAACCCUAGAGAUAGGGCUUCCCCUUCGGGGGCAGAGUGACAGGUGGUGCAUGGUUGUCGUCAGCUCGUGUCGUGAGAUGUUGGGUUAAGUCCCGCAACGAGCGCAACCCUUGAUCUUAGUUGCCAGCAUUCAGUUGGGCACUCUAAGGUGACUGCCGGUGACAAACCGGAGGAAGGUGGGGAUGACGUCAAAUCAUCAUGCCCCUUAUGACCUGGGCUACACACGUGCUACAAUGGGCAGAACAAAG